rnacentral:rRNA from 1 species
GGGUUGUGAGGUUAAGCGACUAAGCGUACACGGUGGAUGCCCCGCAGUCAGAGGCGAUGAAGGACGUGCUAAUCUGCGAUAAGCGUCGGUGAGGUGAUAUGAACCGUUAUAACCGGCGAUUUCCGAAUGGGGAAACCCAGUGUGUUUCGACACACUAUCAUUAACUGAAUCCAUAGGUUAAUGAGGCGAACCGGGGAACUGAAACAUCUAAGUACCCCGAGGAAAAGAAAUCAACCGAGAUUCCCCAGUAGCGGCGAGCGAACGGGGAGGAGCCCAGAGCCUGAAUCAGUGUGUGUGUUAGUGGAAGCGUCUGGAAAGGCGCGCGAUACAGGGUGACAGCCCCGUACACAAAAAUGCACAUAUUGUGAGCUCGAUGAGUAGGGCGGGACACGUGGUAUCCUGUCUGAAUAUGGGGGACCAUCCUCCAAGGCUAAAUACUCCUGACUGACCGAUAGUGAACCAGUACCGUGAGGGAAAGGCGAAAAGAACCCCGGCGAGGGGAGUGAAAAAGAACCUGAAACCGUGUACGUACAAGCAGUGGGAGCCUCUUAAUGGGGUGACUGCGUACCUUUUGUAUAAUGGGUCAGCGACUUAUAUUCUGUAGCAAGGUUAACCGAAUAGGGGAGCCGAAGGGAAACCGAGUCUUAACUGGGCGUUAAGUUGCAGGGUAUAGACCCGAAACCCGGUGAUCUAGCCAUGGGCAGGUUGAAGGUUGGGUAACACUAACUGGAGGACCGAACCGACUAAUGUUGAAAAAUUAGCGGAUGACUUGUGGCUGGGGGUGAAAGGCCAAUCAAACCGGGAGAUAGCUGGUUCUCCCCGAAAGCUAUUUAGGUAGCGCCUCGUGAAUUCAUCUCCGGGGGUAGAGCACUGUUUCGGCAAGGGGUCAUCCCGACUUACCAACCCGAUGCAAACUGCGAAUACCGGAGAAUGUUAUCACGGGAGACACACGGCGGGUGCUAACGUCCGUCGUGAAGAGGGAAACAACCCAGACCGCCAGCUAAGGUCCCAAAGUCAUGGUUAAGUGGGAAACGAUGUGGGAAGGCCCAGACAGCCGGGAUGUUGGCUUAGAAGCAGCCAUCAUUUAAAGAAAGCGUAAUAGCUCACUGGUCGAGUCGGCCUGCGCGGAAGAUGUAACGGGGCUAAACCAUGCACCGAAGCUGCGGCAGCGACACUAUGUGUUGUUGGGUAGGGGAGCGUUCUGUAAGCCUGUGAAGGUGGCCUGUGAGGGUUGCUGGAGGUAUCAGAAGUGCGAAUGCUGACAUAAGUAACGAUAAAGCGGGUGAAAAGCCCGCUCGCCGGAAGACCAAGGGUUCCUGUCCAACGUUAAUCGGGGCAGGGUGAGUCGACCCCUAAGGCGAGGCCGAAAGGCGUAGUCGAUGGGAAACAGGUUAAUAUUCCUGUACUUGGUGUUACUGCGAAGGGGGGGGACGGAGAAGGCUAUGUUGGCCGGGCGACGGUUGUCCCGGUUUAAGCGUGUAGGCUGGUUUUCCGUGCAAAUCCGGAAAAUCAAGGCUGAGGCGUGAUGACGAGGCACUACGGUGCUGAAGCGACAAAUGCCCUGCUUCCGGGAAAAGCCUCUAAGCAUCAGGUAACAUCAAAUCGUACCCCAAACCGACACAGGUGGUCAGGUAGAGAAUACCAAGGCGCUUGAGAGAACUCGGGUGAAGGAACUAGGCAAAAUGGUGCCGUAACUUCGGGAGAAGGCACGCUGAUAUGUAGGUGAAGCGACUUGCUCGUGGAGCUGAAAUCAGUCGAAGAUACCAGCUGGCUGCAACUGUUUAUUAAAAACACAGCACUGUGCAAACACGAAAGUGGACGUAUACGGUGUGACGCCUGCCCGGUGCCGGAAGGUUAAUUGAUGGGGUUAGCGGUAACGCGAAGCUCUUGAUCGAAGCCCCGGUAAACGGCGGCCGUAACUAUAACGGUCCUAAGGUAGCGAAAUUCCUUGUCGGGUAAGUUCCGACCUGCACGAAUGGCGUAAUGAUGGCGGGCUGUCUCCACCCGAGACUCAGUGAAAUUGAACUCGCUGUGAAGAUGCAGUGUACCCGCGGCAAGACGGAAAGACCCCGUGAACCUUUACUAUAGCUUGACACUGAACAUUGAGCCUUGAUGUGUAGGAUAGGUGGGAGGCUUUGAAGUGUGGACGCCAGUCUGCAUGGAGCCGACCUUGAAAUACCACCCUUUAAUGUUUGAUGUUCUAACGUGGGCCCCUUACCGGGGUUGCGGACAGUGUCUGGUGGGUAGUUUGACUGGGGCGGUCUCCUCCUAAAGAGUAACGGAGGAGCACGAAGGUUGGCUAAUCCCGGUCGGACAUCAGGAGGUUAGUGCAAUGGCAUAAGCCAGCUUGACUGCGAGCGUGACGGCGCGAGCAGGUGCGAAAGCAGGUCAUAGUGAUCCGGUGGUUCUGAAUGGAAGGGCCAUCGCUCAACGGAUAAAAGGUACUCCGGGGAUAACAGGCUGAUACCGCCCAAGAGUUCAUAUCGACGGCGGUGUUUGGCACCUCGAUGUCGGCUCAUCACAUCCUGGGGCUGAAGUAGGUCCCAAGGGUAUGGCUGUUCGCCAUUUAAAGUGGUACGCGAGCUGGGUUUAGAACGUCGUGAGACAGUUCGGUCCCUAUCUGCCGUGGGCGCUGGAGAACUGAGGGGGCUGCUCCUAGUACGAGAGGACCGGAGUGGACGCAUCACUGGUGUUCGGGUUGUCAUGCCAAUGGCACUGCCCGGUAGCUAAAUGCGGAAGAGAUAAGUGCUGAAAGCAUCUAAGCACGAAACUUGCCCCGAGAUGAGUUCUCCCUGACUCCUUGAGAGUCCUGAAGGAACGUUGAAGACGACGACGUUGAUAGGCCGGGUGUGUAAGCGCAGCGAUGCGUUGAGCUAACCGGUACUAAUGAACCGUGAGGCUUAACCUUACAACGCCGAAG